rnacentral:lncRNA from 1 species
UCCCUGUUCUCUCUGUUUUCUUUGUUACUAUAUUAAGAUGUUACAUAUGUCGUAGUAAUCUCUGCUCAUUUUAGCUAUAAUAGAAUAACGUUUCAGAUGUGUUUCGGCUUAUUCAAGACUCGUAAUAAUCGAAAGUCCUCUUUCUUUCAUGUUCAACCAUCUUGUAGUUUAAAGAAAUGAGUUCUUUUUGUGCUUAAAUCUUUAUUUUAAGUCAAGUUAGUGUUGUUAUGAUUUAAUGACCUCUUAUGUCUUUACUU